UACAACAUAGCGUUAAUGCAUUGGAUCUCAUUAGAACUCCGUAGUUAAACAUGCUUGAGCUAGAGUAGUACUGGGAUGGGUGAUUGCCUAGGAAGUCCUAGUAUUUUAU
rnacentral:rRNA from 1 species